rnacentral:rRNA from 1 species
AUGAGAUUCGGUGCAUUGAAUGGACGUGGGCCAUAUGGAGCGGGGAAAAUCAGGAAUACUCCUGUGUACGUAUCAGACAGAUGGGCCCUGGUGAACCGAAAUUUGCACGGCGACGACGGAUGGAGGCCGAGCCGUGGCCCGAGACGUCACCGGCGUCCUGACCCGUGGAUCAGAAUCGGCGCCUUCCGGUGCUGCGGAGAUCUACUACGACGAAGGCGAUUGGGCGCUCCAGCGAGGUCCGAGGCCAUGGAGUUCUUGAUGCAGCCGAUAAACAGAACGCUACUGGUGGAGGUGAACGAUAAUGACAUCACGAUGGGUGCUGUGCGUGUCCCGCUGGAUGCGCCAGCAUAUGUUGAGCUUGCAGCGCCGGCUGCUUCGAGUGCGGAUGGCCAGAUCUGGCGUGAGGAGGGCGGUGCAGAGGCUGGAAGUGCAGAUAAGGCUCAGUGUUCGGAGCACUCCAUAGAACAAUUGGACCCAAAAACACCAGGUUGGACACAAAGGCAAUAUAGAAAAAUUCGAAUUGAAUGGGAAGUGGGUGUGCAGAGUGCAUGUAGGUGCUGCUGCUCUGGGCAGGGCUCCUUGCGCGGACAGGGUGACAGUCCUGGAGAAGACAAUCCGGGAAUUUGCAGAGCAACCUGGAGACAUUGUCAUUGUGCCAAGAUAGGAACAAGUUUCGACACACUUGGUGAGGCCUAUAACUUUUACAACUUGUACUCUUGGGAGAAAGGAUUUGGAAUUAGAUAUGGAAAGAGCAGAAUGAAUGUCAACUGGACAAAGUGUAUGCAAGAGAUAGUAUGUGGAUCCGCGGGGAAACCAAUUGUUGAAAAUACACGUUCAUGUCGAUGUGAAUGCCCAGCUCUCAUGAGAUUGUUGCGGAAGUAUAUGAGCUUAAUCUUUGACAUGGAGGAGAUCGAAAAGGGUAAAAGGUAUGUUGCAAUACAUACUGAUACAACUCGGAGGGAGAGGUCGUGCAGAACUUCUCACAAGGUGACGGUGAUUGAAGGAGGGGAAGAAUGUGACUGUGAGUGUGGACAAUUUGCACACAUGGGGCUGUUGUGCAGCCACAUCCUGAAGGUGCUAGACUUCAUCCGUGUGACCGAAAUCCCAAAGAAACGUAUUGUGAAGAGGUGGACUAGAGAUGCGAGAGAUAUCCUUCCAGCACACCUUAUGCGGUACCAGAAGGACAAUGCUUAAGAAAACCCAUUCAAUUUCCGUCAUUUCAACAUGUAUAUGCAAGCUAUGGAGCUUGUGCGGAUGCGGGGUUGUAAUGUCGCAGUAUAUGAACAUUUGAUUUCAUUGUUCAAGCAUUGUGCAGCUGAAAUGAAGCCAUUCGCUGAUGUCCGAGAUGGAUUAGGACUGGAAGACAGGUUAGCAGACAAUAUGAAAGUGCCAAAUAGGGUACAAUCACAAGGAGAUGUAUACCCAGAGGUAGAUGGUACACAUAUUACAAAUGGUGGCGGUGACAGCAAUUCAGCAAAUGAGUUUGCUGCCAGCUAAACGGAAGCAACUCGAUAGACCUACAACAAGUAGGGAGAAAGCACCAUAUGAAGGUUUGAGUAAGAGAACAAGAUUUUGUGGCAUCUGCAGGCAGCAAGGCCACAAGCGAACAACUUGCCCUGAACGCGGGGAUGUACCGAAACAACACCAUGGGGAUGCACCUCUCAAACUGAAGUGAGAGGUGCCUCAUGGGAGCUUUCUCGGGGUGGUUCUUCAGUGAUAGAAAUUGAAGAAUACUCAAAGGGGUGCAAUGGUUUGAUCCAGCUAGUUCUGAAACAUCAGUUAACCAGGCAGAUGAGCGUGCGCAUGUGAGGAGUGGGGAUUCAGGGAUUUCCUCUCUGUCCCUGCAGGUUACCGGCGCUGGCGAUCUUAGUGAUGCAGAGGAGGUAGAGGAGCUGGCCGUCCCACAUGGGGAGCAAGGUGGAGGUAGUGCAGAUGAGGGAUACGGCGAGCAUGACCCUGCUGCUUGUGACUCUGAAGGCGAGUGUGCAAAUUCAGAGAGUCUGUACUUAAAAGAAGAUGACACUGUAGAGGAGAGCAACCGCAACAACGCCAAGCGUGCUAGAAUUAACUAGGAGUUGGCAAAGUGUAAUGCAUGGUGUGUUCAUUCAGCGUAGGUAAUGACGCCUUUGCCUAGCUGAUGACGUGCGCAGUGAAUAAUUAGUGUGCGUGUGUGUAGAAUCUGUGCAUCUUUGUCCGGUGAUUGUUCAGUCCAGUGAGAAACAAUGUAAGACCUCUGUUUCUGCUUGAUUAAAAUAAUGACGAUUUGCC